AAACCAUUUCUCUCGCAUAAGGUUAAAAUACCAAUAGAGUAAGAAAAAAAGGCAUAUUUGUUUCCUUCAGAAAGAAAAGAAAGAGAAUAAGAAGGGCAAAUUUUAAUUUCAUCCAAAGAGAAACAAUAUCCUAAAUACUAGGUAAUGGUUCUUGUUAUUACUACAAACAAUCAGGUCUUUACUUGAACAUCUCCUAAAUUUACAAACUUAAAUAGCAUAUGGCCCUGACUUGAGAGCCCUAAAUAAAUCAACCAUGAUACAGAGCUUACUGGGGAGGAUCUAUAUAUAGAACAUCAUGUUUGAAGUCCGACCAUCUCAAACAGAGUGAAGAGGAUCAGAUUCUAAUCUGUUCCUUGCAUCGGGACCAUCCUAUAUAUAGAACAUGUUUGAAGUCCGACCAUCUAACAGAGCGAAGAAGAUCAGAUCUAAUCUGUUCCUUGCAUCGGGACCAUCAUAUGCUGACCCUGCAAAAAGCAAUUUCAAGAGAUACAAUAAGCGUCACGUUGGCAAAAAAUAUUUUGGGUGGAAUUUCGACAAUCAAUGUGUCAACCAACAGUCUAACAUUGCCACCAAAUAGCCUUCAAAUAUAUGCUGCUUAAACUUCAUAUCUUACCCAACCCCUCCCAACUUUUCACCUAGUUGAGCGAAGGCAAAACUCUCUCGUGCAGAUUGGCUUCUAUUGUCAUCCUACAACAAUGCACGUCGUACAAGAGAGAAACACUUGGUAGAAUUUACACAUUAAGCAACAGGCUUAGUGCUUACUUUACCCUGGAAUCUUCAGAAAAGAAGAGGCAGGACGCUGAGAGAAAAUCAUUUUUGCCAGUCCUUAAAACUGUGAGACUUAAAUUUACUUACUCUUACUAGUUCAUCCAGCUACCAAUAACAUUGGCAGUCAGAACUUAGAAGGAGCAUGUUCACAAGCCACUUCCACUUCUCUCCUAUAACCGAGCAGGUCAUAGUA
rnacentral:lncRNA from 1 species